UUUCCGUAGGUGAACCUGCGGAAGGAUCAUUAACUUAACGAGUGGUGGGUAUAAUAACCUGCUGCUAUAUAUGCCAGUGUUGUUUAUGUUAAAAAAACAGUAAUAGAUAUACGACUUUUAACAAUGGAUCUCUUGGCUCUU
rnacentral:misc_RNA from 1 species